ACUGCUAUCUUCACAGGGGGGAGAUAAAUCACAACAUAGACCAUUUUUCUCCAUUAAGUAGGAAGGAGCCUUCUGCGCUGCUGGUACAUGAACUGAGGUACUUCUCACCUCCUUACAGAAAAGGCAGAUGAUGCUGGAGUGAGAGUUUUGCUGGCUGUGGGCAGAUUGCGAAUCCUGACUUCUGAGAAAGGAUGUCAUGGAAUACAGCUCAUGUGCUACCAGAUGGAAGUGCCACAGAGGGUAAUGUUAUAGAGGCAAGGGUCAGACUUCUAUCUU
rnacentral:lncRNA from 1 species